rnacentral:ncRNA from 2 species
CAGCGUCUUCAGGGCGGGGCGAAACUCCCCACCGGCGGUAGGUUUCCGCAAGGAAACGAGCCCGCGAGCGCUUCCGGUUUCGGCCGGAAGGUCAGCAGAUCCGGUCCGAUGCCGGAGCCGACGGUUACAGUCCGGAUGAAAGAAGACGGCG